GCUCAACCACCGGAAAACUCCAGAAACCGCUUUGAUUGACCCCUUUCCAUCUUCCACACUUGCUUCUACCCUUUUCUUUCUCCCCAGAUCUCUCCUUCCCUCCUUCUUUCUCUCCCCACUUUGCUCAAUUCUAAUUUAGAUUUGUUCCUUUUCAGUCGAAUCAGAUAUGAAAUUGCCCACUCAAUUUCUCGUUUCGCCAUUUUCUAGGUUUGAUCUGUAAAGUUUUGAUUUUGGGGUUUUUU
rnacentral:misc_RNA from 1 species